AGAGUUUGAUCAUGGCUCAGAACGAACGCUGGCGGCGUGCUUAACACAUGCAAGUCGAGUGCGCGGUGCCGUAGCAAUACGGUACUGGCGCACGGCGCACGGGUGCGUAACACGUGGGUAAUCUGCCCUCUGAUGGGGAAUAACCCCGCGAAAGCGGGGCUAAUACCGCAUAACAUUCCUUGGACUCCGGUUUGAGGACUCAAAGCCGUAAGGCGUCGGAGGUGGAGCCCGCGCACGAUUAGCUAGUUGGUAGGGUAACGGCCUACCAAGGCUAUGAUCGUUAGCUGGUCUGAGAGGAUGGCCAGCCACACUGGAACUGAGACACGGUCCAGACUCCUACGGGAGGCAGCAGUGGGGAAUCUUGCGCAAUGGGCGAAAGCCUGACGCAGCGACGCCGCGUGGGGGAUGAAGCUUCUCGGAGUGUAAACCCCUUUCGACCGGGACGAAUGCCCGCAAGGGAGUGACGGUACCGGUAUAAGAAGCCCCGGCUAACUACGUGCCAGCAGCCGCGGUAAGACGUAGGGGGCCAGCGUUGUUCGGAAUUACUGGGUGUAAAGGGUUCGUAGGCGGUGUGGCAAGUCGGGAGUGAAAUCCCUGGGCUCAACUCAGGGGCUGCUUCCGAAACUGCUGUGCUAGAGUGUGGGAGAGGCGCGUGGAAUUGCAGGUGUAGCGGUGAAAUGCGUAGAUAUCUGCAGGAACACCCGUGGCGAAAGCGGCGCGCUGGACCACUACUGACGCUGAGGAACGAAAGCUAGGGGAGCAAACAGGAUUAGAUACCCCCGUAGUCC
rnacentral:rRNA from 1 species